rnacentral:rRNA from 1 species
AGCAGCCGCGGUAAUUCCAGCUCCAAUAGCGUAUAUUAAAGUUGUUGCAGUUAAAAAGCUCGUAGUUGAAUUUCGAGAUCAAUUUGUUGGUCGUGCCUCGGUACGUACUGGCAAUUUUGGUUUCUCCCUUCUGAAGAACCAUGAUGUCAUUAAUUUGGUGUCAUGGGGAAUCAGGACUGUUACUUUGAAAAAUUAGAGUGUUUAAAGCAGGCUCGCGCUUGAAUACAUUAGCAUGGAAUAAUGAAAUAGGACGUUUGAUUCUAUUUUGUUGGUUUCUAGGAUCGACGUAAUGAUUAAUAGGGAUAGUUGGGGGCAUUAGUAUUCAAUUGUCAGAGGUGAAAUUCUUGGAUUUAUUGAAGACUAACUACUGCGAAAGCAUUUGCCAAGGAUGUCUUCAUUAAUCAAGAACGAAAGUUAGGGGAUCGAAGACGAUCAGAUACCGUCGUAGUCUUAACCAUAAACUAUGCCGACUAGGGAUCGGAUGAUGUUAAUUUUUAUGACUCAUUC